AUACGUAGGGGGCAAGCGUUGUCCGGAAUUACUGGGCGUAAAGGGUGCGCAGGCGGCUUGGUUAGUCAGAAGUGAAAGUUUGCAGCUUAACUGUAAAAGUGCUUUUGAUACUGCCUGGCUUGAGUCUCGGAGGGGUAAGCGGAAUUCCUAGUGUAGCGGUAAAAUGCGUAGAGAUUAGGAAGAACACCGGCGGCGAAGGCGGCUUACUGGACGAGUACUGACGCUCAUGCACGAAAGCGUGGGGAGCAAACAGGAUUAGAUCCCCUGGUAGUCCACGCCGUAAACGAUGAAUACUAGGUGUCGGGGGGCAUCCGCCCCUCGGUGCCGCAGCUAACGCAAUAAGUAUUCCACCUGGGGAGUACGUUCGCAAGAAUGAAACUCAAAGGAAUUGACGGGG
rnacentral:rRNA from 1 species